AGAGAGAGACAUGCGCGCAUAUCAAUAAGCGGAGGAAAAGAAACUAACAAGGAUUCCCCUAGUAACGGCGAGUGAAGCGGGAAGAGCUCAAAUUUGAAAUCUUAAAGGGUUUCCCUUUACGAAUUGUAGUUUAAAGAAGUGUUUUCUGUUGAGGUUUUGGUAAAAGUUCUUUGGAAUAGGACAUCAUAGAGGGUGAGAAUCCCGUAUUUGACCUUUACUUUCAACUUUGUGAUACACUUUCAAAGAGUCGGAUUGUUUGGGAAUGCAGUCCAAAAUGGGUGGUAAAUUUCAUCUAAAGCUAAAUAUUGGCGAGAGACCGAUAGCGAACAAGUACCGUGAGGGAAAGAUGAAAAGAACUUUGAAAAGAGAGUUAAACAGUACGUGAAAUUGUCAAAAGGGAAGCGUUUGACACCAGUGUUGUUUUUCUGAAAAUCAAUUAAAGAACUGUUUAUGCUAAGUUGUUUAGACUUUAUCAGCUAACUGUUUAGUUUUGAGCUUUUCUUUAAUGCACUUUUCAGUUAACAAGUCAACAUCAUUUUCUUUUGCUGUAAAAAAGCUUGAGGAAGGUGGCUUGAGAUUCGUCUUAAGUGUUUAUAGCCUCUUGCCUAUGCAGUCGGAGAGAUUGAGGUCUGCAGCGUAGAUCCUUCGGGGCUAAAUGCAUUUGUGCUAAGUUAUAGCAUUUUAUAGACAACUUGUUGACUAUGAUUUGUCUUGUAGCUUACUCGCUUAUGUUAUUUUACCUACGCUUAGGAUGUUGAGCGCAUGUCUCUCUCU
rnacentral:rRNA from 1 species